rnacentral:rRNA from 1 species
GAUGAACGCUAGCGGCAGGCCUAAUACAUGCAAGUCGAACGGUGUCUUCGGACAUAGUGGCGCACGAGUGCGUAACACGUAUGCAACCUACCUUACAUUGGGGGAUAGCCUUUCGAAAGGGAGAUUAAUACCGCAUAAGACAGUAGCUGGGCAUCCAGCAGCUGUUAAAGAUUUAUCGAUGUAAGCUGGGCAUGCGUCCAAUUAGCUAGUUGGUGAGGUAACGGCUCACCAAGGCAAUGAUUGGUAGGGGAACUGAGAGGUCAAUCCCCCACACUGGCACUGAGAUACGGGCCAGACUCCUACGGGAGGCAGCAGUAGGGAAUAUUGGGCAAUGGACGCAAGUCUGACCUAGCCAUGCCGCGUGCAGGAUGAAGGCGUUAUGCGUUGUAAACUGCUUUUAUACAGGAAGAAACGACUCUUGCGAGAGGCAUUGACGGUACUGUAUGAAUAAGCACCGGCUAACUCCGUGCCAGCCGCCGCCGUAAAAC